rnacentral:rRNA from 1 species
CAGCCGCCGCGGUAAUACGUAGGUGGCAAGCGUUGUCCGGAAUUAUUGGGCGUAAAGGGCUCGCAGGCGGUUUCUUAAGUCUGAUGUGAAAGCCCCCGGCUCAACCCGGGAGGGUCAUUGGAAACUGGGAAACUUGAGUGCAGAAGAGGAGAGUGGAAUUCCACGUGUAGCGGUGAAAUGCGUAGAGAUGUGGAGGAACACCAGUGGCGAAGGCGACUCUCUGGUCUGUAACUGACGCUGAGGAGCGAAAGCGUGGGGAGCGAACAGGAUUAGAUACCCCUGUAGUCCCUGUCUCUUAUAC